GGACUACCAGGGUAUCUAAUCCUGUUCGCUACCCAUGCUUUCGAGCCUCAGCGUCAGUUACAGACCAGAGAGCCGCCUUCGCCACUGGUGUUCUUCCAUAUAUCUACGCAUUCCACCGCUACACAUGGAGUUCCACUCUCCUCUUCUGCACUCAAGAAAGACAGUUUCCGAUGCUAUUCCUCGGUUAAGCCGAGGGCUUUCACAUCUGACUUAUCUUUCCGCCUGCGCUCGCUUUACGCCCAAUAAAUCCGGACAACGCUUGCCACCUACGUAUUACCGCGGCUGCUGGCACGUAGUUAGCCGUGACUUUCUGGUUGAUUACCGGCAAAUAAUGAGCAGUUACUCUCACUAUCUUUCUUCACCAACAACAGAGCUUUACGAUCCGAAAACCUUCUUCACU
rnacentral:misc_RNA from 1 species